UGUAUCGCUGAUGAUAAUCUGGCUCCCUCUACUGACCGCUGUGAGGAGAUCGCCACUGUUACCCAAAAUCUGUCUGAGAUACA
ensembl:snoRNA